UACGGGGGGGGCAAGCGUUGUUCGGAAUUACUGGGCGUAAAGGGCUCGUAGGUGGCCAACUAAGUCAGACGUGAAAUCCCUCGGCUUAACCGGGGAACUGCAUCUGAUACUGGAUGGCUUGAGUUCGGGAGAGGGAUGCGGAAUUCCAGGUGUAGCGGUGAAAUGCGUAGAUAUCAGGAGGAACACCGAUGGCGAAGGCAGCCCCCUGGGCUAGCACUGACGCUCAGGCACGAAAGCGUGGGGAGCAAACAGG
rnacentral:rRNA from 1 species